rnacentral:snoRNA from 1 species
UCCUUUGAUGGAAAAUCCUUCGAACAGUUACUUAUCAAAUCAGGUUUUCAAUUCAGUGAAAUUCAGAAAAAUCUACUCUUCUUACA